rnacentral:tRNA from 8 species
GCGAGAGUGGCGGAAUUGGUAGACGCACUGGAUUUAGGUUCCAGCGCCGCAAGGCGUGGGGGUUCGAGUCCCCCCUCCCGCACCA